rnacentral:rRNA from 1 species
CCUACGGGUGGCAGCAGUGAGGAAUAUUGGUCAAUGGACGAGAGUCUGAACCAGCCAAGUAGCGUGAAGGAUGACUGCCCUAUGGGUUGUAAACUUCUUUUAUAUGGGAAUAAAAUGUUCCACGUGUGGGCUUUUGUAUGUACCAUAUGAAUAAGGAUCGGCUAACUCCGUGCCAGCAGCCGCGGUAAUACGGGGGAUCCGAACGUUAUCCGGAUUUAUUGGGUUUAAAGGGAGCGUAGGUGGAUUGUUAAGUCAGUUGUGAAAGUUUGCGGCUCAACCGUAAAAUUGCAGUUGAAACUGGCAGUCUUGAGUACAGUAGAGGUGGGCGGAAUUCGUGGUGUAGCGGUGAAAUGCUUAGAUAUCACGAAGAACUCCGAUUGCGAAGGCAGCUCACUGGACUGCAACUGACACUGAGGCUCGAAAGUGUGGGUAUCAAACAGGAUUAGAUACCCCAGUAGUC